UCCCCCGUGGUGUAACUGGCAGCACCUUUGAUUUUGGUUCAAAUAGACCAGGUUCGAAUCCUGGCGGGGGAG
rnacentral:tRNA from 1 species